UGUGCUUCCUCCGCCCCUUGCUUCACACACACACACACACACACACACACGGACGCACGCAGCUCUCCAGUUCAAAACCAGGCAAUGUGGGUGUGGAUUUCCCUGCAGGUUCCUUAACUGGAACAAAACAAGUUCUUUUCAAGUUCUCCGCCUUUGGUUGGCCUUUGUUGGUGUGCCCCUGGCGGUCCCCAGCUUGGCAGACUUCUCCCUUGCAGGAGAGGGAGGAGCGAUGGAGACGGGAGAGAGGGACCGAGCCGAGAAGGCGGCGGGGCGAGGGGAGAGGAGCGAGAGGCGCGGAGCGAGCUCUCAGGAGGGAGCGGUGGCCAUCUGCGUGGAGUGCUGAGUCGGGCUUCCUCCCUCCAGUGCUGAAAUGGGAAGGCGUUCAGAUUCCCAGCCUCCCAUCGGGACUCCACUUCCUGCUCACUAAUGGGCAUCUUUAAAAAGCCCUGCAAACAUUGUUCCUUUGAUCUUUGGCAUCCCCCGAGAAGAGGGAGUGGGAAAUUUACUUCUUGGGGUAAAUGAGGUCCAGAGAAAUUAAGGAAAACUGCCUGAGGCCACACAGCAAGUGACUGAGGAAACCGGAAAUCGAAGCCAAGGGCACCUGGUCCGUGACUCUAACCUUAACUAUGCUGCUGUCCCCAGGAGUCCACCAAUAGUGGGAACAACUCCUGCUAAUGGAUGGUUUACUUUACAAGUGGAAUGAGUUUUACAAAGGAGCUACCAGAUGAUUAAGGAGAGAGUAAAAGAGCAAAUCUUUCUCGUCCUGCACCAUGGCCUGGCUUUCCUUUUGUACAGUAAAUGAUAACAAGUAUUUUCUUUUUCUUGGAGUCCUGCUUCCUCUAGUUUCCUACACAGCAAUGCCUCAGUACUCCAUAGCUUUCAUCCAAAGACAAAAGCACAACUACAGUUCUGAUGAAGAACAGCCCGGGCGGGGCGUGGUGGUGCACGCCUGUAAUCCCAGCUACUUGGGAGGCUGAGGCAGGGGAAUCACUUGAGCCCAGGAGGUGGAGAUUGCAGUGAGCUGAGAUCUUACCACUGUACUCCAGCCUGUGCAAAAGAGUGAGAUUGCAUCUCAAACAACAACAACAAAAACACAACAGCCUGGAUGCCGGGAUGGUCUGGGCUUGCACGGAACAAAACUUAGAGGAAACCACCAGGAAGUAGCUUCCUUGAGACUACGUCUGUCCCUGUUGUUGGGACUGGCUGAUACUGGAUGUCGAUUCUUGGUUUCUGACCUAGAUUUGCUGUGAUUCCCAAUGCGAUCACACGUCCUCCACUUCCCUCUUCUGGGCCUCAAUGUCUUCACAUAUUAAAACAGGAGAUGCGAAACAUUUAUCCACGGAGUGCAAACAAGAGUGGCUAAAAAUACUGCCUUUGAGCCCUGAAUGCAACAGAGUCCACUGUAAGUACUUAAUGAGCAGGGACCAGUUACUGGAUUCUAGCUGGCCUGCUGGAUUCCCACAUCCUGUGUUUGGCUGAAGGUUGGGGCAGAGGAAGGGGCCUUGGCCUCACUGGACUUCCUCCCUGGCCAGCACUUAUGGAGAGCUGGGACUGCAUGUGGUGUGGUGGGCAAGCUCCCAGGAUGCUGCGGAAAUAGAUGCUUGAGAGGAAGCUUGGUCUGGUGCCUCUGAUGCCUGACCAGGACUUUGGAGAACCUUGUCUUCCCCCGUUGUCCCUGAGGCUGAGUCACCGAGCUUCUUACUGACCUCCCUAUGAGUAACUUCCUGCAUCACCCAGGGGGGCUACUACACAGAAUCACAGCAGCCAUCUGGUCCACCUCUCCUUGCACAGAUAAAGUAACCCCGGUAGACGGAGGUUAAGGGACUGGCAGAAGUUAAAUAAGUAACUGAUGUUGGCACCCACAUCUUGUGGUUUCUGCUCCUGGGCUCUUUCUAUCACACCAUGAAGCUCUGUCAAUGACUAAGAACAAGGUUGUUUCCAGCUUCUUGUUCUGGGUCUCUAUGUAAGAAGAAUUAGACGCAUGGACAGGAAUAAUCUCCAAGCUCAGAAGGAAACAUAUCAACUGAAAAACUCACUUCCUUAUCUCACUUCUGCCCUUCUUACUUUCUAGAGCAGACUGGCACUUGCAAAUCUCUAGGUGGGUUUGUAUUUUCAGCAAAUGCAAAUGGGUUCCUACACAUCUAGAGGGCUGCAGCGCAAAACAGAGGAGUCACUGAACCAGAACCGGACGCAAUUUAAAAUGUGAGAGCACCAAAGAAAGCCCUAAGCCUGUGCUUUCAGAGGACUGGAUCCCAUGUUUCCUGGGGUGGCAGGGAAGUUGGCAGUUGGCAUUUUUCCUAUGCCUGCUCCAGCUCUGCCCAGACAUGUGGCAUCAUAGAGACAUCCUGAUCUCCUCUGUGGACGUCACCAGACUGUAUUGAAGAUGGUAAUGGGACGGAAGGAAAUGGACUGGCAGCCAGUUCUGCAGGGAAGUACGGGCAUACGCUCACUAACACUGCUCUAUCACGCAUAACACAAAGAAAAAGAAGCUAAUACUCUACCCUAGUGGUAUCUGUGUGACAAACUCGAGCCAACCAGCGAGGGCUUCGGCUCUGGGGAAUAAUGAUUUAACAGCGGCUUGUUUGCACUUUGGAACACCUCGUGCUUCCAGAGCCAGCCGAUCCUGCCGGGGAGGGGAAGAGGUCCCAGUGCUGCUGUCUGGCAGACCGCGGUUUCGGUGGGCACCCGGGGUGAGGCAGAUUGCCUGCUGCUGCAACUUCAUGUGUGAGCUCCAGGCUCCCCUGGUUGGAAGGUGCCAGGGAGUGAGGCGGGUGAGCGGGCAUCAGGCCAGGGGUUUGUGGUUUGCUUUUCCAAGUCAGGCUGCUGCUGGGAGAACACUUGUGGUCUCGACAGCUGUUCUGCAACAGGAGAUGGUGGCCUGCCCCGCUCCAGCCUGGAGGGCCUGGCCUCUCAGCUUGACCCAAGGCAUGCAGGGGGCGGCUGCGGCCGGGCCACAGUUCUGCAGCUGGAGCCCUGCUGGACUCUCACGACUCCUUCCUAUGGAUCCUCUGGCGGGAGCCCUUUGGUAUCUGCUCCGUGAGGUUUCCUUCCAGAGAGAAGUGAGGACUUCACAUCCAGACUUUCUGUCUUUCCAGGAAGUCUGGUCCUAUUUAAACUCUGCUCUUUCCCCCAGAGGACUUCUGCAGUGCACAGGUCGACUUGGGAAACGAAUUGAAGGGAGGAGGCGGGGUGGAAACAGAGGAGGAAACUGAGGCUUCUGUUCCACAGCCUGCCUUAAACUAUUUUCUUUUCACCAGGGCUGUGCCAAACCUCCCAAAAUUCCCAGCCCUGGUCUGGGCUAGUUCUCCCAGAUAUUCAUACAUAUACCUCAGCCAAAGCAACGAUCUUCAGUGCCGUAAUGGUUUUUAUGCUCUAAUGUCUUCCUCAACCAGACUUAAGUUCCUUGAAUAUGUUUUCCUGGCACCUAGCAUAUACCUGGGGGCAUAUUAGGCCCUCGAUAGUUGUCUGCUGAGUGAAUGAAUGGAUGGAUGAAGAGCUUUUUGAGGUAGGUAUUAUGGCAACUGAAGUUCAGAAAGGUUAAGUCACUUUCUCAAGGUCACACAGAUGACACACGGUGGGAGGUGAUACUUGAACCCUUUUCUGUCUGCUCAACUCCAUGCUAUUUCUAUCAUGGGAGGAACCUCCAGUGGCUGAACCCAGAUAUCUUAUUAAAAAUACAUUUCUAACUGGGCGUGAUGGCUCAAUCCCAGCACUUUAGGAGGCCGAUGUGGACGGAUCACAAGGUCAGGAGUUUGAGACCAGCCUGACCAACAUGGAAAACCCCGUCUCUAUAAAAGAUACAAAAAUUAGCUGGGGAUGGUGGUGUAUACCUGUAAUCCCAGCUACUCAGGAGGCUGGGGCAGGAGAAUUGCUUGAACCUGGGAGGCAGAGGUUGCAAUGAGCCAAGAUCAUGCCACUGUACUCCAGCCUGGGCAACAGAGUGAGACUCUGUCUCAAAAAAAAAAAAAAAAAUAUUAGCUGGGUGUGGUGGCGGGCGCCUGUAGUCCCAGCUACUUGGGAGGCUGAGGCAGGAGAAUUGCUUGAACCCAGGAGGUAGAGGUUGCAGUGAACCGAGAUUGUGCCACUGCACUCCAGCCUGGUGCCUGGCAACAGAGCAAGACUCUGUCUCAAAAAAAAAAAAAAAAAAACCCAAACAAAAAAAAUAAAAAAUUAAAAAAAAACCUUUCUAAAUUGCAAGCGAUGCAGUAAUAGGGACGUGGCAGUCAGGGUCAGCUCAAGGAGGGAGGACAGUAAGGGGUACAGCCCGGGAGCCACAGCCCUUCUUUCUGGGAGCUCUGUUGGAAAUAAACUCUACUAUUCCAAGAUGAACUGGGGAAGUCUAUGAUCCCAGCAGCUCAUGGUCUCAAAUUGGAAUCCUGCUCCCAACCUAGAGGUCAGAUCUUUGCAAAUCACAUUGCCUAGAAAUUGCCUCUGUUUGUCUGAGCUGUCAAGAAUGACCCAAGGCAGGUAGUACCCAGACUGUGCAUCGUUGAGCCCCACCUUCAGGUGCCGAUCAGAGCCCCAGGCUGGCAGGAAGGGUUGGGCAGAGUUGGGCAGAGUGCUGGCUGUGCUACGGUUUGGUGUUAAACAGGUUUACAUUUUCCGGAAGGUCAAUUCAGCCUGGGCUUCCCCUCUGAAUCAAACUCAUUAAGAAGGAGAAGGUGAAAAAAAGCCUUACACAGCUUCCUAAGUAUUGGCUGGUUCAGCAGAAACAAGUUGUUAAGACUGGCCAAGACAAAGGUUACUAGAAGUCGACAAGCAGGGUUUCCCAACUGCACACAUCCUUAGAAGAAAGAAAAGGAGCUGGGCGUGGUGGCUCAAGUCUGUAAUCCCAGCACUUUGGGAGGCCGAGGCGGGUGGAUCGCGAGGUCAAGAGAUCGAGACCAUCCUGGUCAACAUGGUGAAACCCCGUCUCUACUAAAAAUACAAAAAAAAUUAGCUGGGCAUGGUGGCACUUGCCUGUAGUCCCAGCUACUAAGGAGGCUGAGGGAGAAUUGCCUGAACCCAGGAGACAGAGGUUUCGGUGAGCCGAGAUUGCGCCAUUGCACUCUAGCCUGGAUAACAAGAGCGAAACUCCGUCUCAAAAAAAAAAAAAAAAAAGAAAGAAAGAAAGAAAGAAAAGGAGUCUGGAUUAUGCAGAAUGAUUCAAGGUCUGCGCUACUCCCACAACUCACUCGUGAUGUCCUGAUUACUCUGUGCUCUUUUGGUGCAACAGACAAAAAAUAAAAUCAAAGGAGAGCACAGAUGGGAGCAAUUUUUUAUGCUUUUCAUUUUUUCAUCAGCAAACCUAAGCUGUAAAAUGCUAGUUUCCCUCUCUUCCAUUCUCCUCCCAACUGUCUUACUUGCUAUAUGGAAUUCUCUGCAACCUUUCCUUAGAUGAGUUAUAUAUAUAUAUAUAUAUAUAUAUAUAUAUUUUGAGACCAAGUCUUGCUCUGUUGUCCAAGCUGCAGUGCAGUGGGACAAUCUUGGCUCACUGCAACCUCUGCCUCCUGGGUUUAAGUGAUUCCCUUGCCUCAGCCUUCCAAGUAGCUCAGACUACAGGCGCCUGCCACCAUGCCCGACUAAUUUUUAUUUUUUGGUAGAGAUGGGGUUUCAUUAUGUUGGCCAGACUGGUCUCGAACUCCUGACCUCAGGUGAUCCACCUACCUCAGCCUCCCAAAGUGCUGAGAUUACAGGCAUGAGCCACUAUGCCUGGCCCCAGUUAUGUUCUUAAUGCAUCAAUCUAUGAGGCCACUAUCCACAGACAUAGAGAAGAGUCUUUGACAUUGGCAGUGGGUCACAAUAAGUGAUUAGCUAUUCCGCUCCGACAACUUUUAUCCAUUCAACAACCACUUUGCUGAGUAUCUACCAUGGCCCAGCACUGUGUCAGGCACUGAGAAUACAGCAGUGGAUAAAACUGCCUCGUACAUUCUUAUAAAGGGAGAUUGAAAAGAAUCAGAAAACUACAUGGUACAUACAGUAAGUUAAAGGAUAACAGGUUUCAAGCACAAAAGUGAAGCAUGGAAGGACAGGACAGGGUUUGCCAUUGAUAACAAGGUAGCCAGGGAAGGCCUUGGUGAAGUGACGUCAAGUCAAUAUCAGAAAGAAACCAGGGGCAAAGCUGGGCGGCUAUGUGAGGGGAAAGAAUGACUGCAGAUGCAGAAGUCCGGGGCAUCAUUUGUGUGUGUGUGUUUGCUGUGCUAGUGUAGAAAAUGCCGAAAUAAACAUCAAAGGAUGAUAGAAUAUUAUGCAGCCCUAAAAAAGGAAUGUGGUAUUAAUGCACACUGCAACAGGGAUGAACCUUGCAAAUAUUUGCUAAGUCAAAGAAGCCAGACAACGAAUGGCCAUAUGCUAUAUGGUUUCAUUUCCAGAACAGGCAAAUCCAUAGAGAGAGAAUAGAUGAGUGGGUGCCUUGGGCUUUGGGGGAUGGGGAGAAAUGGACAGUGACGAGGUGUUCCCCUCAUGGCCUUCUACUCCUUUGCCUGCUGAAUCCUAGCCUGGAUUAAUCACAGAUCACAAGACAGUCUUUGAUUAAAACUCAACAAAACUCUGGUUGGGCCCAGUGGCUCACACCUGUAAUCCAAGAACUUUGGGAGGCUGCGGUGGGAGGAUCACCUGAGAUCAGGAGUUCGAGACCAGUCUGGCCAACAUAGUGAAACCUCAUCUCUACUAAAAUACAAAAAUUAGUCGGGCAUGGUGGCGUGCACCUGUAGUCCUGGCUACUCAGGAGGCUGAGGCAGGAGAAUUGCUUGAAUCCAGGAGGCAGAGGUUGCAGUGAGCUGAGAUCACAUCACUGCACUCUAGCAUGGGUGAUAGAGCAACAGAGCAAGAGUCCGUCUUAAAAAAAAAAAAUUUAAAAAAUACACAUGUGCAUGCCUAAAAAUAUACACACAUGCAGAGGAAAUUUUCUCUGCUGUGACUUCUAAUGCUCAUUAAAGGUAGGACUGGGAUUUGAUUUUCAGAAAAAUGUGAGGAUGGGAGAGGCUGCAGGGAGAGCUCCUCUGGCUCUUGGCCUGCCUGUUCAAAAGCCAGAGAAGAGACACCCACGGCAAGGAGUCUGUGCUCGCUCCAGGGGGUACAGGGACCCCAUGCAGUGCAGCCGAUGCCAGUGUACACCUUCCAGGAAGAUUAUAAGCAUUGGUGAAGAGAUCUGCAAAACCCCGUGCAGCCACUAGAAACACCUGUUGGAAAAACUAGAGAGAAAUAAUUGGGUGGUUGGAUGGACCAUUUCACUGGCCACGGCUCUUUUCUGUUUUGUUUUUCUGACUCAGGGUCUUGCUCUGUUGCCCAGGCUGGAGUGCAGUGACGUGAUGAUAGCUCACUGCAGCCUCGAACUCCCGGGCUCAAACAAUCUUCCCACCUCAGCCACCCAAGUAGCUGGGACUACAAGCAUGUGCCACCACGCCCAGCUAAUCAAACAAUUUUUUUUUGUAGAGUCAAGGGUCUCUCUCUGUUGUCCAGGCUGGUCUUGAACUCCUAGGCUCAAGCAAUCCUCCUGCCUCAAUCUCCCAAAGUGUUGAGAUUACAGGCGUGAGCCACUGUGCCCGACCUCAUGGAGCUCUUUGAAGUCUCUCCAAUCACUGCUUUGAUUCUCACCUAUACACGUUUGUCAUGAAUUCUGCUAUCUGUGGGUAACUUCACCACCACCAACUACAGCCACAAGAUAGUAAACUGGAAGUCCUGGCUGACACUUUAUGAUAAGCAGUAUCACUCAAGGGGGCUGUGCGCAGAACAUUCGAUAGGAGAGGUGGAAAGCAAGGGGCCAAGAGCUGGUUAGCUAGGUCUCCAUGCUAGUUAGCUAAGUCUCCAUGCUGGUUAGCUAGGUCCCUAUGCUGGUUAGCUAGGUCACCAUGCUGAUUAGCUAGGUCUCCAUGCUGGUUAGCUAGGUCCCUAUGCUGGUUAGCUAGGUCUCCAUGCUGGUUAGCUACAUCCCUAUGCUGGUUAGCUAGGUCUCCAUGCUGGUUAGCUACGUCCCCAUGCUGGUUAGCUACGUCCCCAUGCUGGUUAGCUACGUCCCUAUGCUGGUUAGCUAUGUCCCUAUGCUGGUUAGCUAUGUCCCCAUGCUGGUUAGCUACGUCCCCAUGCUGGUUAGCUAUGUCCCCAUGCUGGUUAGCUAUGUCCCUAUGCUGGUUAGCUAUGUCCGUAUGCUGGUUAGCUAUGUCCCUAUGCUGGUUAGCUAUGUCCCCAUGCUGGUUAGCCAGGUCAACACAAGCCUUUGUUUGCCAGUCACAGUCCUGAUUUGUUUGACAUCAUGGGAUAAUUAUUCACUAAUCCCUCUUUUCACCUGCAGUGGUAUCUUGGUUUGUGUAUUAAAACCCUAUGGUUACUAAAAGACAAAUAAUUUUGAUUCCACUUCAACAGAAAGACAAAUGACUUUGAUUCUAUUUCCAUCCAACAGAAAGUAGAAUGAUGGUUCCCAGCAGCUGAGGGGAGAGGAAAGGGGAGUGACUGUUUCAUGGGUAAAGUUUCAGCUUUGCAAGAUGACAAGCGUUCUAAAGAUCCAUUGUACAAUGAUGGGAAUAUACAUUACUGAACUGGCUGCUGAAAAAUGGUUACAAUGGUAGAUUUUAUGAUGUGUGCAUUUUAUCACCAUUUGAAAAAAUCUUGUUAGAUGACCCCCAAAACCCCUUACCCACAAUUGUGGUAUAAAAUGUUUGGGAGGAUGGAAACUGCGAGGGCAUUUUUAGAAAUGUUCUUGAGAGGGAGAUAUUCUGUGAGCUCGCUGCUACCCACAGGGGAAGGUGGAAGAUGAACUGUUCUCCUUGGAGCUAGUAGGACAGGGUCCAUUAGGGUUACCUGGAGAGCUUAAUAGUUGUCCCCAACAUCAGACAAACUGAAGCAGGAUGGAGCCCAGAUGGGAGAAUGGAGAGAUUUAACUUUACAGCAAGUUUGAAGCCUUGAUUAUCAUAAAGAACUGGCCACUCAAUUCUUAAAAGCUUAUUUUGCAGCUAGGUGUGGUGGUUCAUGCCUGUAAUUUCAGAACUUUGGGAGGCCAAAGCAGGUGGAUCAUGAGUCAGGAGAUGGAGACCAUCCUGGCCAACAUGGUGAAACCCCGUCUUCACUAAAAGUAUAAAAAAUUAGCCAGGCAUGGUGCCGCGUGCCUGCAGUCCCAGCUACUCAGGAGGCUGAGGCUGAAGAAUCACUUGAAUCCAGGAGGCAGAGGUUUCAGUGAGCCGAGAUGGCGCCACUGCACUCCAGCCUGGGUGACAGAGCAAGACUCUGUCUCAAAAAAAGAAAAGCUUAUUUUGCUAUUUAAAGUGACUGGGUGACUUCAUAAUACCCGGGAAGGAUCAGAAAAGUCAAGGGACUGCCUGUGUUUUGAUUGAGAGGCAAGGAAAGAAUACAUUCAAAGGAACACUGGGAGAUAAAAGAUAAUGUGUCUUUUGAGUCCCAGGUGGUCAUUGUUCUUAUACUAGCAAAGUCUUCUGAUUUUCAGACAGAGAAAUUAGAUCUGUUCGUAAAUUACUACUGGUUCAUGACUUCUUUUGGAGGAGCGAGGCGAUGGGAAGCUCCCCUGCAGUGGUUUGGGAGCCGAUGACAGCAUUUGGUUUUGAUUUGCUUCUUCAAAUUCAUCCAAGGACAACGGGGUUCCCUGAGUAGUGGGAACCUCCCUUGGUAGAGUUAUUUAGAAGACAGCCAGUCUCAGGGUGGCUGCUGGGUCGUCUGGCUGGGUGUUUAUUUGCAUAUAAUAAAUACCAAGUGUUGUGUUUGACCCCUACUGUCCACACAAUCAACGUGGCUAUUUAUGUGGCCUCUUCAGAGACAGGGAGAACAGCAAGUGGAGGAGACCAGGCAUGAUGUGGGAAGCAGAUGAAUCCCAGGAGACCACAUAGCCCCAAAGACAUACCAGCUGCAGUAGAAAAGGUGCUUUCAGCUAUUUCAUCACAUCUAGCUUAAGCACUGGUUGUGUGGAAGUCAAAGACAGAUGUGGGGUUACCCACUUAGAAAUUGGCAUUUUUGGCCAGGUGCGGUGGGUCACGCCUGUAAUUCCAGUACUUUGGGAGGCCGAGGCAGGUGGAUCACCUGAAGUCAGGAGUUCAAAACUAGCCUGACCAACAUGGGGGAACCCUGUCUCUACCAAAAAUACAAAAAAAACAAUUAGCCAGGCAUGAUGGCACAUGCCUGUAAUCCUAGCUACUCAGGAGGCUGAGGCAGGAGAAUUGCUUGAAACCAGGAGGCGGAGGUUGUGGUGAACCAAGAUCAUGCCACUGCACUCCAGCCUGGGCAACAGGAGAGAAACUCCAUCUCAAAAAAAAAAAAACAAAAAAAAAAAGAAAUUGGCAUUUUCUUCUUCUGCUUUCUUCUGGGAAACUGCUGCUUUUCAUCCUUUCUUUUAUUCAUGACUCCCCUGUGGCUUUAAAGGGACCUUGCUUUAUUUACCUUGUUUUAUUUCUCUUUGUUUCUGGUUUUAAGAUUCCUUCAACUUCAGGAUUCCUGACCAUCUGCAUCAACCAACUUGUGGAGAAAACUGAGGCCAAGGAAAGUGACUCACAAUCGUGUAGAAAUGUGAGAUGCCUUGACUGCUGGGCCAGAUAUCCUGCAAAUAAUGGCAGGGGGCAGACAGGUCAGCAUUCCUCAAAGGUGACAGUUGGUCACCAGCAUGGGUGCAAUGAAGACACAACAAGAUACAGGCUGGCGCGCUUGGAAGCUUGGCUUACUCAGACCAGGCUCAGGAUGAUCUUCCCAGGACCCCGUGGGAACCGAGGGACCCUGGCUUCCCAGAUCCAGUGACCAAGAGAAAAAUUAACCCUCUUCACAAAGAGACCUUGUUUGUUUUUUGAGGCCAUUUGCCUCUUGAGUUCAGUAAAAGCGACUGUAACGAUAUUUGCUAUGUCAAGGGCAAUGGCACUUUUCUCCUGGGGAAUGAGAAACUCUGACAAGUAAACUUACUCAAGAUGAAGAAAAUUAGAUGACAUCCACGCCGUGUCUCUUAGUCCCCACUUCACAGAUUUAAAAAGAGAGGCGCUGAGAGGUUAAAUAAAUUUCUAAUCAUGACUUUCUAAAA